rnacentral:rRNA from 1 species
AACGAACGCUGGCGGCAUGCCUAACACAUGCAAGUCGAACGAGACCUUCGGGUCUAGUGGCGCACGGGUGCGUAACGCGUGGGAACCUGCCUUUAGGUUCGGAAUAACUCAGAGAAAUUUGAGCUAAUACCGGAUGAUGUCUUCGGACCAAAGAUUUAUCGCCUUUAGAUGGGCCCGCGUUGGAUUAGCUAGUUGGUGGGGUAAAGGCCUACCAAGGCGACGAUCCAUAGCUGGUCUGAGAGGAUGAUCAGCCACACUGGGGCUGAGACACGGCCCAGACUCCUACGGGAGGCAGCAGUGGGGAAUAUUGGACAAUGGGCGAAAGGCUGAUCCAGCAAUGCCGCGUGAGUGAUGAAGGCCUUAGGGUUGUAAAGCUCUUUUACCCGAGAUGAUAAUGACAGUAUCGGGAGAAUAAGCACCGGCUAACUCCGUG